GUGAAGGGCUUAAUUAAAAGGGACACCAUUAAGUUAGUAGUAUGAACACAAACACUACAGCACAGAAAUUUCUCUACAAUUUUUUCUCAAACUUUCUCUUAGUUAACGCUAUGGACUAUGAGUUCAACCUAAACCCUAAUUCAUGAAUCAUCUCCGUUGCUAAAAGUCGAGAUGUGUCAACGGAUCCGAGUAGUUCCAGUACAAAAAAGCGAGGCGCUGCUGAUGAAUCUUUACUGGAGCUGGUUGAAGAUCGUCGUGGCUUAAAGAGACGAAGUUGCGGCAGGAGCUCAUCUCCCCUUCCAAUUUCUGGAACAAAUGAUAUUGGAGUCUUCAAAUCCAUAUGGAAAAGAUUACAGAGUUGAACAAUCUCAAGAACUUGGACCAUGACAGAACCUUCUCUUCAUAGUUAAUUUUAGCCUUUUAGAGACAUGGCCCAAAAGGAAGAAAAAGAAAAACUUAUUUUCUUUGAUGAUCUCCUCUCUUUUGUUGGUUUUGCAUGGAUGACUAUGUUAUUUAGCUUUAUUAUUGAAUCCUUUUCACUCAACUACAUGUUGAGGAAUUGGGGUGAGUGAAAAAAAAAAACUUCAAGAUGUUUGCAAAUCUCUAGUAUUUAUUAUAGAUUCAACUAUUGUACUUAGUUAUGUAUGAUUGCUAGUAUGUAUAUGGUAUAUCAAUCAAGUGUUAUGUCAUCCAAAAAUAUGCAACGUCGUUUUUA